rnacentral:tRNA from 3 species
GGACCCGUAGCUCAGCUGGAUAGAGCACCAGACUACGAAUCUGGGGGCCGGGCGUUCGAAUCGCUCCGGGUCCGCCA